UACAAAUAUCUAUAUAUAUAUAUCUAUAAAAUUAGGCUGCUAUACUAUUUAUAGUACUGAGCUCUCGUACUAUAGUGUUUGUUUUCGAUCUUAGGACGUUCAAAUCAACGAUCUACACCGUUAAAUAUGAUCUAGAGUAUAUGAAUUUCUUAGGAAUAAAAUUUUAGUUUUUUUCGAUAUCGUUUACUUAGAAAAUAAAUUAUAUCAAAAUGGACAGUAAAAAUUGAAUAAUCUUUAAAAUUUGAGCAUAGGACUUUUAAAUUCAAN
rnacentral:lncRNA from 1 species